GCUCAUAAAGGUUUUGUUUGUUUUCCCUUCCUUUUGCAUGGAUUUCGGGGCGGAUUUGAUGUUCCAGAUGGAGGUAAUAACUUUUUCUUUUCCGAUUCAUGUGCCAUGUGUCUGUUUAUUUUAUAUGUGCUUCACGUCUUUGGUGUUCUAUCCUUUAUUGCAUCAUUAGGACUUAGCAGAGCUACCAUGAGUAGCUAUAGUCUGUUUAAUAUUUUCAGUAUUUGCAUUUUGCUUCUUUGUUGAUAUUAUACAAGUAAUAUGUCUGAAUUGGAUCCCAGUGAGAGAUUUGAUCGUGUAGAUUUUUCCAUAUUUCAAUUAGAAUGUUUUUGAAGGUAUAAAACGAAAUCUGAAUGCAUAUAUUUUUAAGUGUAUAUUUUUAUUAAUCUGUUCUGAUGCCAAUGGCUCGAAAUGCAUUGUUCCUAUCCAACACAGACUCAAGCCUAUAUAUUUGAUUUUCCAUAUUGGUUUCAUCAAACUGAUGAGCCACGAGUUGAUCUUUUCAUCUUUUUUUUCCUCUUCUGCAAGCUUGUAUUUGAUUCUUGUACAUAUAUGUUCACAUCAGACAAGAGGGUCUCAUCCUAUCCAUGGGAUGCUUUCCAUGAAUGUGGGAUGCUGGGAGUUGCUAAGUAGAGAAAGAAAAGUUGGAGGGGUUCAAGAAGUUUGUUACUUCCCAACUCUUUUGGAAGUCAGGAUUCCAUUUAUAAAGGCUUUAGUGAUACCAUGAAAACUGGGAUGCAGAAUCCCUACACCCGCUGAGCCUUCCAGCUUCAUCUUUCCAAACAUUCUCACUUGGUUGAUAUAACCUGGUUGGUUGGUUGGUUGGUUGGUCGUUUAAACAUGCCAUUAGUAUUGGUAAAGUAAACUUAAGAUUCAUAUCCAUUCAUACCAGAAAUGGAUAUAAAUUUCAACGAUUAGUUGUGUCAGACUUUGCUUCAAUGUAGGCAAUGACUUUAGGACUAUUAUAUUUAUCCUUUAUAGGGGUUUAUAUUUGGACAUGAGAUAGUUUUGAGUAAUUUGACAGGGUGAUAGUAAGGUAUCCGCAAAAGGUGGAGACAACUCUGCUAGGAAAGAUGCAGCAGGUCCUCAACCUGGUCCAAGUACCCAGGGGGUAUCAGUUAUUCUCCGAAUUAUUUUCUUUCUGGAAGAUUUCGUUAUUUUCAUUCGAUAUUUUUCAAAUUUGACUUGUAUAUGAAAUCAGCAGAUGGGUCAACAAGGAUCUUUUACUCAAGGAAUGAAUUAUAUGCAACCUCAGGUAUUCUGUAUUAAGUAUUUCUCUUCAUUAAAUCUAUGGUGGAAGCCCUAGAUAGUCUUUCAUCUUACAACUUAUAAAUAUUUGUAGACAACUUACAUUAGUCUUAUGUAGGCAUACUAGGGAUAAGGUGUUAACUUUGUGCUUCCGUUGUAGAUAAUAUGCUGAUAAUUAAGUUUUCUAAAUAAUGUUCAGUUUUUUGAAUACUUUCACAUGAAUAAAAUUUGUUUCUUGAUAGUGUAGCUUGCACAAGUAGGAGAGGAAAAUGGAUAGUCAUGAUGUUGAUGGAUAUGUGUUACAUAGAAAAAAUGAUGUAAUUGUGGCAGAUGUAUCAAAUAUAUGAGUCCUAUGAGCAUGGGAUGUCAGAUGGGUCAUAAAUUUGUCUAUUCUGGAAUUCCUUUUAAGAAAAGGUGUGCCAGAGGUGAAUGAAGAUAAAGAGCUAGGGAACAUUGUAAUUACAAGAGCUAUGUAGGUUCAUAUAUAUUGCAGUUGAAAUUUUACACCUGAGGAAGUAAAUCUAAUACCUCAUAAGCUUAUGUCUAAAGGUUGCUAAUCACAUGCAUAAUAGUCUGAUUUAAGUAGGAGGCAUGCCUCUAGAAAUAACCAAUUCCUGCUCUGUACUUGACCAUCGGUUAAUUCUUCCUCCUGCAACUUGAUUGCUGCCUUCAACACCUCACUCACUCAUGUUUGCUAUUUUUCAUAAAUUCCAUGUUCAAUAGAGUUAUUGCCACCAUAUUCGAGCUUCUGUGAACCAGUGUUCCUCAUGUUAUUCUGUGUAGUAGUUUUGAUAUGGUAUUCUUUAAUCUUGUCUAAAAAAAAAAAAAUCAUUUAGAAGAUUUUUAUUUUAUUUUUAGUCUUGAUUCGCUAUUACAAUGUGCAGAUGUACUUCUUGCAUAAAUUGCCAUAUCCACUAAAUCAAUCAUAGAUAUGCCUCGGGAAAUUGUAGUAUAAACUUGAUCAUUAAAGAAGAUGAUCUUUCUGCUGUUAUGUUGAUUUUUUAUGCUGCUUCUAUCAAUAGUUCUCCAAUGAGGUUGGCCUUGUAUGUUAUAAAUCAACCUCUAUGUCGAUAUAAUCAGCUUUCCAUACAUAAAAUUUUACAACUCUCUUUCUGCUUUUGUUUAACGUUUAGAUAUAAUGCGAGUUCCAUUUUUAUUCUUUGUUAACUAUGUAUAUAUUGAAUGGUCGUGAAACUGUUGAUCAUAUUCUCCCACUAAUAGUUGUUUAUCUUCUAAAGAUCAUUAUUUUGCUAGAUGCAAUUCUUUCUCUUCAUCUUUUCAGUACACAAUUCAUCUUGUUUCCUAUGAGUUAGUUGGUUUGCUGAUAUUAGCGUGGAAUUCUCCUUUUUGCCAGUUCCAUAAUGGGGAUAUUUCAAGCUGAAUGGUUAUUGGCCUAUUUCUGCUAGCUGUUCUCUAUUUCAGGUAAUAGCUCUUCCUGAUUGGUCCUCUGCAUUAUGUAGAGGUUCUUUGGAUAUCUUUUCUCAUUCAAGUAUCUGUUCUUGCUGAUCAGCAUUUGUAUUGUGCCACCAUACAUGAGCACUUCUCAUCCAGUGCUCAGAAUGAUGCUGCAAUGAGGACAUUAUAGAUCAUUUAAGAAAGUGAACCAUAGGAGUAGAAAAAAUAUGUCAUGGAGUCAACAGCUUGUUCUAUGACAUACGCAAACAAAUCAAAAGAAUUGUUUUGCUUACUUUGGGUUUGGAUAGCUCAAGAAAAUCAAAUAAUGACGGUUGUUGACCAAAGUAGUUUUCUUUUAUUCUGUUUAUAAUCUUCUGUAGUUUUAUUAUCUCAUUUAUUUGUGAAAAAAUGGCUAAAUGGGUUAUUUGCACUAUAGUUUUUACAGUGACAAAUACUUUGGUGAAAGCUUCAAACCUUCAUAAGAGGAAUGAUCAAGUUGACAAGAACAGUGAAAGAAAUUAAUACAUGCCAGUAUCACUCAGUAUGAUCAGGCACCUUGAUAAUCAUUUUGGAUGUCAACAUGCCGUUGCACUUUAUCUCGACCUACUUUGGUACCAACUGUCAUGGUCCUAUGGAAGUUGCCCUAAUUAAAGCAUGUGAGGCACCUAGAGUACCUCAGGAUACUUGGGGAGUUUCCUCUCCUAGGGGAGCUCUCUAUUUUCAGGAGUUGGGUUGCAGAUGAGGAUGUCUCCUCUUUAUAUAGACCUAAGCUAGGAUCCAGAGUGACAAGAAUCACCGCUACUUGUCCUUCAUCUAUAGAUGAGAACUUUCUAAAUUCAAGAUAUUUACAUGCCACCAAAAUAUAUAGGAAAUAUCUAGAAUAUGGCUGAAAUAUCUCCAGAGUCCUUGGGGAACUCUGGAAGCUUCUAGAGUCCUCUAGCAAUUGAGUGAAUUCUUGGACAAUCCUUUGUGAGGUUUUGACAUCUUGCUGAAGCUCUGUGAUCCCAUGCUUAGUUUUCCUUUUCUGCCAUCAAGUAACAUACAAACUGCCUUGAUUAUAAUAUUCGUUUGUUUUCGUAUAUUUGCUUCUCAAUCGUUGCUAUUCCUCUAGUUUCACUCAUUCAUAUGCACGAUCUAUUUGGUAAGAAAUAUUCGUAGAUGUUUCAGAUCUGUUUCCUUGGUAGGAAAAGAUGACAUGGAUACUGAUAAUGGUUCUUGAAAUGUUGCAGUAACUGGCAAGGAAUCAAAGUCUUCAUGGAAAGAACUGGCCUGUUGGGUCUACAGGCUAUUUCGCUGUUGAAACCAAUGAUAGAUCGCCUGAAGCAUACUAGUACCAUCUUCUUUUGGUUUGUAAAUUAAUUUGAAUAAAAUAAUCUAGACUUUGGGUGUUCAGAAACAUGCUCCAUGUCUUUCUUCUAUGUUGUGCACAUAUGGAUGUCAUAUUUACUGUUUGUUGGUUUCCUUUAGCUAACUUGAAAUGUUUUAUGGUCAUAUUGUUUCAGUCAAUAUUACUGUCUCUGUGCAGAAGCUGAGAGAGGGUGUUGCUUCUGUAACUCAUCCUUCAACGGAUUUAAGUAGUCUGAACUCUGUGAAAUAAGUGCUGCCACCAUCACAAACAAUAGACAAUGACUUCGGAUGAUACUCUUAAACAAAAUGGAGGCUGCUGGUCCUUUAUUAUUUUUGGAUCGGAACAUUUUGGCUAAUCAUCUUCUCAAUAUGGUGCUUCAUGAUGUUAACUUUUGUUUGUAUUUAGGAACGUCCGAGGGGGAGGCUGGCUGGUUGAUGGUUAGUUAACUUUAGUGACCAGCCUUGAUGAGAGGGUGUCUUGUAGCCCAAGUAGCGUAGCCAAAGAGUUCCUUGGUAGAUACAAUCUCUUGUAUGGAAGGGUUUAGGUCGCCAUAGAUGGCAUAUGAAACCCAAAAGUGAAUGCAGUUGAAGAGAGGUGCUACAAAGAUUGAUGCCACCAAGUAUUGUGCUGGUUUCCACAUUCGCAUGGGGAAUGGGGAAAUGGUGGUGACUUAAACCCUUUCUUGAAGCAUAGGGGAAUGGCUAUCAUGCUGGGCCACCGUUUUUCAAUUAUCACUAUCACAGUUGCGAGUUCGCUGGGCGGAGGUCUGGAGGACGGUUUUCCUGCAAAAAAGUAAAAACAAAAAUAAAAAUAAAAAUACGAAAAAAAAAUAAGGAGAUGAAUAGGAUGAAGGUUUGAUUUAUAGGCUGAUGCAAUUCCAUUGCUUCUGUCUUUGUUGUCUUCUUUUGCCCAUCAGGAGUUUUGUUUGGAUUGUUGUUAGACCACAAAUAGAGCUGCAAAUGGAUCGAGUCGGACUGGGGCAGGCUUGAUCUGAACUCAACCUAAUUUUCUAAUUUUCUAUUUGGAUCUGGAUCCACCCCAUUAUAACCGUAAUGGUGACUAAUGAUGGUUUCAAUAGGGGUGUAUUAUAGCGGAAUAACACCGAGGCAGGGGAAUAAUGCUAAUGUAGCAGUUCGGAUUGAACUCAAUGUAUCACAUUGGAGCCUGUUUAGCCAGUUGGAAGUCUAAUGCCCCUUGAUCAUGGGGUACUCGAACUUUGGUGUGGUUUUUGGUUAGAGCAGAAGAUUUGACAUGGGAUAUUGUAUGCUAGGCAAAUACUAAUUUUUUUUUUUUUUAAUAAGAUGGUCGCUUCAUACAACUCUAGUAUGAAUACAAUCUAAAAAAUCGGAAAGAAGAAUAUCACGAAAAAAUAAAGAUAAACAGAAAGCAUCCAUCUGGUGAGCAAUAAAUGAGGUAAUUCAAUCCGUCGUAUUAUUCACCUCAUGAUAGGUAUGCCUAAUCACAAAGAAGGAGCAUUCCUGAAGUAAACUCUGGAUGUUAUGCACCAAGGGAUGAAGGAACACCGCACAGUCUCGGUCCCUUUAAAUCUAAGAUACCAUCGUUCUCGAGUUCUCCUCAACUACCAGUUACUCUACCUUGAGGAUCAUCCUUGCAUAAACAAUACCCUUCCAGACCACCCGCAGCUCAGCAGCAGGCACAGAGGUCUCCAUGAGUUGGACUCCCUCCAUCACAAUAAAUCGAGAAUCGGAGUCUCGGAUCACAAAACCUGACACUGCCAUCGAAGUUGACCUUCAAAAAGAUCAGAGAUAGAGGCUUGUAAUAUGCUAUUCUAUGUCGAACCAUUUCUAUUUUUUUUGAUAUAAGCAGUCCGAUGUCCAUCUUGGGAUAGGCUUACUUCUAUUCUGUCCUUGUUUCACCCCUUUAGAUUAUACAUCUAAAAUAAAUUUUAUGUUAUAUAAAUAUUAUGAAGGCCAUUAGUAUAUUUUAUAUAGUAUUACAAGCAUAAACUUAUAAUACACACACAUUAUAGUACUGUUUGUAUAAGAUAUUAUUAUUUUUAGGGUUUUCUUACAUGAGUUCUCUUAUAAAUAUCUAAAAUGAUGUGUAUAUUUUCUUAAAUUUGUUAUUUACGUAUAUAUUUUUAUAAAUUAUAAUAGUACUAUAUUGUUUACAUAUAUAAUAUAGUACCGGUAUAAAUUAAAUAGUAUUAUAUUAUUGCAAACUAGUAUGACUGUAUAAUAUAUUAUUUUUUAUAUAUGGUUUUAUUAAUUUUUAAAAAAUAAUAUUUUAAUUCUAUUUUUAUUCUAAAUAUUCUGACCAGCAAACAUAAUAUGGCAGAAAUAUUUAGCAUAGUCAUGCUAUCCGGCAUAGCUUUCCCUGUAAAUACUCUUUUCCAUUUGCCCGUCACACGCCGCCUGGCAGAGGGAUGCUAGGAGGCGUAGUUGUCGAUCCCUGUUAGACAGCUGGACCACCUGGUACACCGAACACGAUCGCCUCCGCAUUCAAGCCCUGCCACGUUAAACCCUAUGCACGCACCCAAUAACCUAAAUGGACCCCACAGCCCACAGCACGUCUCGCUCGCGCUCGCAAGCGCUUCAAAAUUUUCAAAGGAAUAAAAUAUAUAUCUACAAGAGGGAAGACUGCUCGACGAUUUUUGACUUGAGAAACAAAUAUUGGAUCUUGUCCUCCUCCGAUCUCUACCUCUCUAAUACGAAUGGCCGAAAGUGCGAAGGUCUGGAUGCCGCAAUCGCCAAUGCAGGAGGACGCCCAGCCUGGUGAGGACUCCCCACUUCCUUCUCUCUUCUAGGGUUUUCCCCCGAUUCGGGUGAUCCGGAAGUUAGGGUGUUUUGAGAAAUCAGUCUGAAUGUACCUAUGCAACCUAUUACAGCGCCAGAUAAUGGGCAUUGGUUAUGAUUUGAUAGAUCUGGAAUGAUUUCUUUGAAACUUCUCCUUUUUUUACAAAUUUCUUGCAUCUUCUGUUGUCUUUCGUCUUACUUACCGAGAUAUUUGGUUGGUUCCAGAUUUGCAUCAUUGUUGAUGGAUAUUUUUGGAUUUUCAUUGCUGGGAAAACAAAAUCCUAUUGUUAUAGCCGGGUCUGAUGUAAAUGACGAACUUUAACCUGCAGGUGAUUUUUGGUACUGUGAAAAAGUAGUCGUUUGAUGUGUUAGGAUUCCACCAUUCCUGAUGCAUAAAUGGCUUUUAGUGUUGGGGUUUGAUUCAUUAAACCAAUUUGAAUUUUUCCCUUUUUUUGGCGUUUUCUGGCCUAUUUCCUCCACAUAUCCUGAUUCCCUCGACUUCUAUUGUUCUUAUUUUGGAAUAAUUCCGGAUUUUGAUGUUUUUUCUAUGAUUUUCUGGAUUAUUGUUGUCGUGGAAUCAGUACUCAGUCACCAAAAUGAACAAACUGGUGUUUAUGGUGCACUUUGGAUUUCAUAUAUAGAUCUUGGAGUCGCGAUUAUUAUUCACCAUAUAAUAUGAGGCAUGGCGAACCUUUGGCAUUUGUUUCCCACAUGGCUGUUGAUGUUGCUGAAAUAAUCAUUUGUUCAAUCAUUGAGUUUGUGUUUUUUGUGUGGUUAUCAGAUGAUAACGUUGGUCCAAAACACUCUUGUUCGUCACCAAAAGAUGUGUGCAACAAGGAGAACAUAUGCACCGCUCAAGAGGACAAUUUGGAUGUGCUGGCCUCUUCUAAAGAGACCCUAAUGCAGACAAAGAGGGCUAAAAGGGGUGGAGGAUAUAACUUGAGGAAAAGCUUAGCCUGGAACCAAGCUUUCUUUAUGGAAGAAGGUAUUAAAUUUGCUACGGUAUUUGUACAAGCUUCUGACUCCAAGUUCUCAAAAAUUUAUCACUUUGAACAGGUGUCCUGAAUCCACUAGAAUUGUCCAUGCUAAGCGGUUCUGUAACCAAGUCAAGCGGGAGCUUUCUCUCUGGGAUCAGUGGGGAGAUGUCACCACUGAUGGAGUACCAGAAAUCUGGUGAUAGGAAUGAUGUUGAAGUAAACAUAAAUAAUAAAUCUCAAACAAAAUCUGAAAAAGAUUUCAAGGAUGGCAAAUUAUUUUCAAAUUCAGAAGCUUUAAUCAAAGAGGGGCAACGGCUACAUGUAAUUACUCAGUUCAACUUGGAUCCAACAUUCUUUUCUAGUUCCUAAUGUAAAGAUGGAAAUUUUGGGGGCAAUUUUCAGUUUUCUAUCUUAUAUAUACUGAGUAACCUGUCUUGUUGUGAACAAAAGUUGCAGUGUAAGGUAGAAUUUCUAUUUGUUCUUAUCAUUAUUUGCCUUAUCCAGGCUUCUGGAAAGAUGCACUCUGGCAAAAGCAUUGCCAAAAUUGUGCCACAAUCACCAGCUUCAAUUUUAUAUCCUUUUUUGUUACUUCCUUUAAGAACGGAAAAUAUGCAGUAUCUAUUUGAUGAGGAAGUCCGGCAGUGUCCAAAAUUUUCUGUUGCUUGAGAAAAUUUUCUAACAGGUUAUUUUGUCAAUUUAAGGAGUUAUAGUUCUUAACACUAUUGUACACAGAAAAGGGUUGCAAAUACAAAUGCAACAAAUCCAACAUCGAAACUUCCAAAAUUCGUGCCUACAAGGUCACAUGCUUAUUCUCUACCCAUGACUUCCAGAAAUAUCAUUUCAACUCCAAAGAGCUUCAAGACUAACCAUACAGCUAGAGGUGCUGUUUCUUAACAUGAUUUGCUUUUUUGCUGGAUAUUUGAUGCGAAUUCUGUCUAUAUAUUUCUCAUUAAAUUUGCCAACCAUAUCAACUGAUUUGAGUUUUUUCAAUAAGCUAUUUUUGCUGCAGUUAAUGUUGACCAUGGCAUUGGUACAAGGGGAUUUUCUUCAAAUAAAAGAAUGGAACCUGGUUGUCCACCCUCAUCAGCUAAAUCUUCUUCACAUGAUCUUAGCAAGCACUUGGUUAGGACUAAGGAGCUUUUCCAGUUGUCUAAAACAUCAUAUAUGCUUUUUCGUGAAAAGCAGUUGCACUUCAAUUAUUUUUAAGUAUUCUGCUGGCCAAGUUGAAAUGAUUACUCAUGAUCCGGUGUAAUAUUCUUUUGAAAUGCUUCCAUUUCCAUUUGUAGGUUCCACUGGCUGAGAAAGGUACUGCUGGUUUUAAGAUGAAUCCACAUUCAUCUGGCUCUGGCAUGGCAUCUUCAUUAUAUCGCCAAAAUUCCUACCAAGUUAGCAGAGGACCUCCCUUGCCAGCCCAUGUAAAACCAUCAGCACUGCGACUGCCUUCACCAUCUUUAGGAUUUUUUUGCCAGGUAUGGUAACAAAAAUUACAUCCAUGGAUGUCUUACUUUAAGAAUCAGUGGCAUGGUGGACCCUUGAAGUAAUUUUAUAAAAAAAUGUAAAAUGUUUCCAAUUUGUUCUUGCAUCAUUUAGUUUGCAGGUAACAAUUGAUUCCUAAACCUGGAGAUUAAGCUUGAUUUAUCGAAUAGGCAGAAUUGGAAGUCAUUUGGUUUCAUAGACGUAUACAUGAAGAGCUAGAUAAAAGAGAUGCUAACUGUCAAAAAAGGAGCAUCCCAAUAGCCAUGCUUCCAGCAGGGUAGUCCAAUGAUAGUCCAUGGUGUAAGUGUUUUAAGGGAGUGUGCCAAUAACCAUGCUUCCAUCAGGGUAAUCCAAUGAUAAUUCAUGGAGUAGGCGUUUUAAGGGAGACAAGAAUUACCAAUCUGGUCACUUGCAUGACACCUGAAAUUUCUUUUUAAUAUAAAUGGUGACAUCAGCACCAUGAGAUGACAUUUGUUAUAAAUUUGUUAUAUUUCAAAGAUGUUGUUUUGAUGGAAUGUGGAAUGACAAGCAUAAUUUAAAAGUUUUCAUAACCCUUAGAAGUUAGAACAGUACCAGAUAUACAAUGAUUUAGAAAACUGUGUAAAAUUUGGUCUCGUCAUUCACUUGUUCAUUUAUUUUGUAUCCUUCAUGUUUAUAUAGAUGAGUUGGCAAUUUAAUUUUUUUGACAUGCAAAAUCUGAUCCAUGGUAGCUAACUAAAUUGGCUUACAUUCAAUUGGACAGCCAUUUGAAUGGCUUCUUUUCCUUGCCACUCUUUUACUUCUUUUUGUAGGGAAAAUUUUCUCCUUCCUAUUACAACCAUUCCCAGAGAAAUAUUCAACAGCCAAUGCCCAGUAUUCCUCCUCUUAGAAAGCCUAUUAGUCUAAAAAAGACUGAUGAGCUGAGACCUGCACCUUCAACUGGGCGAGAAUGUGCAGAGGGCCCUGUUUCAUCAGAAUCUUGUGCUAGGACUGUAGUUGUUGGCAGCUUGCAAGCAUCUUCAGCUGCAAACUCUUUGUCUUGUUCCACUGCAACUGUUGAUACACAUCCAUCUAUGAAAGAGAAUACUGGAACGAAAAAAAUGGAUAUGAUGAAUAACAGAACUUCUGGUUCGUGUUGCCAAACAAGCAGUCAAGAUCAGUUAGGCAGCAGUUGUUUCUCAGUUCGUGUCAACAUUGACAAGCAGUCACACAUGUUCUCUUUAGGAAAACUUGGUCGUCACGAGGAUAACUUUAUGUUGCAGAUUGACACAAAAUCUUCAGUCCAAGAAAGUGGAUUGAUUUCUGAGAAUAGUAAUGAUGCUGACCCAUCUACCGUAGAAUCUAGUGAAAGUAAAUUAUCAUCAUCCAAGUUUUCAUCACAAAUGUGUCCAAAGAAACUUGAAGGAAGUGAGUCAAAGCAACUACACGAAGGUGAUUCAGGAGUUGAUAAUCUGGAAAAGCAUCCACUGGUAGGAAAUCUGGGUGAUGAGAGUUCUCUCUUAAGCAAGGACAAACAAUCAGCUGGAAACUCUGAUUUGAUCUCAAAUGCAGGAUUUGGUUUCACAGCUAGAAAUGCUGACUUAGCUGCUUCACCGAAAACUGAAUCAUCCUUAAAAUUGAGUAAAGAGCAAAUGGCAGGUGCCAGUAUUUCUUGUAGCACAGAAUUGGAUUGUUCUUUAGAUGAGAAAAUGUGUACACAUGUUCAGAUCAUAGAUCAAGGAAGUGUCCGCCUGGCCAGUGGAUCAAGCAGUUCCUUGUCAGAGGAAUCUCAAUCUACAUUUUCUGAAGACAGGAAAAUUCAAGAUUGCCAAGCACAGUCUGAAGCGAAGAAACUGAUGGACUCAAUGGAAGACAAAGAGUUGAUGCCAAAGUAUGUAUUUAAUGUCUGUAAGCAAGCUGUUUUUUUCUGAAUAUUCUAUAAAUCAAUACAUGAUGCAUUAGUAAUAUGCUUAAUUCUCUCCUAUUGCAGCAAGAGUAAACUAAUGGACAGACUAAAGCUGGAUUUUGUUCCACCUAGACAUCAGUUACAUGCUGUACCAUUCUCAGAUGAAUGGCUAGCUGCUCUUGAGGCUUUUGGGGAGGUUAGUUUAUUGUUCAAAAGGUUCUUUGAGUAACUUGUAGUUUCUUGUCAUUUCACCACAAUCGUGUCACAGUAAUGUACGCCAUGUUAAUAGUAGCGUACACCCACCAAAGUUGAUAAGUUUACCAGCAAGAAAAUUGUUCUGUUGGUUUAUACGUCAGCAAAAUGAUUAGUGCUUUCGCUUUGCUUUUAACCUGAUAUUGUUUUAUAUGACCGUUCUUUGGCAUUCAUUUCUUAGAUUUCCUGACAUCAUUAUAUAAAUAAGAUUCAAGGUUAGUUUUUGAUUUAAUUUGUUUACUUCCCCAUUUGUUUGGGACUGAAAAUUAGGAAAAUAUUCAGAAAAUCUUAGGUACAAACUCAUCAAAUGUCAGGAUGUUGAAUCUUGGUUAGGAAAUCCUUUUGAUUAGUUAGUAGUCUGGUUGAUCUGGAUCCUAUUCAGUAGAAAUAUGUCAAAGAAGUCAUAUUUUCAGUAAUAGAUUGUAUUGGUAGGAUUUCUGGUUUUAAAAGGACUAUCUUUUCUUCCUUCAUGUUAUUUAGGGGUCUUUUGAAGUUUUUGCAUUAGGCUAGGGGAGAUUUAAAAAAUUACAACAUGAUUUUGAUUUAAAAAUUCUGUGAAAAAACCAUGUGGUGUAUUCUGCAUGCAUAUCAUCAUUCUGCAUUUCUUCUUUUUCCUUUUCUUCUCUUUGUUAUUUUCUUUCAUCUUUUUUGCUUUUCUUCUCCUUCCUAUGUUUUUUCUCCUCAAACUAAAAUCCUUACCCUGUCUCUGGGGCUAAAUCAUGUUCUUGUUCUGUUUACCAUGUGCUAGUUUGGCUCUAAAUUUCUAAUCAUGUUUUCAUUUUUCCUAAUUAUGUGCACUGCUCAAAACCUUAGUAUAUGUACUUGAUUAUAUACUUGUAUUCAGGGAAGUUUUGUAAUUUUCCCCAAAUCUGAAUUAAUCCAUGUAGUUUUUCUUCAUUUUUUUUUCAACAAAAAUGUGGGCAAGUGCCUAGAUUUCUAAAGUUCUGUAUCAUGUCAUUGUACAUGAAUUCUACUUACAUUUUAGAAAUUAGGCAAUUGCUGUGCUGAAGUCUGUAUGUUAAUUGCUCUUUGCCUGUUUUUACAUGUAAUGCAGGAUAAUGGUUAUAUACAUGAUUGGCAUUUCUUUUUCUUUUUCUUAUGUAUGUUCAAUUACAUGUCUUGACACAUUGUUGAUCUAACAGGAGAUUCUGGAACUGAAAACGGGUCCUGUGCAAAAUUCUCCACCUGACAGAGCUCUUCCAGAACCUGGUCCAUGGUCACCGGUAUGGUCCUCCUUUCAUUUGUCAUAUCAAUAUGCAUUUUGUAAGUCUAGUGACAAAAAUAUGCCACAUACAGAGUAUUCAAUUUACUUUAUGUUAUCUCAGACUUUAUGUCAACAAUCAUCUGUACAUGGUAUUUCUAAGUGUAGCUUUAAUUUUCAUACAAUUGGCAGUAGACAACAAUCAUGCCAAAACUCAUUCUUUUAACAUGGAAUGCAGUUGGAGAAUUUGGUGCACAUGACAAAUGUAAAAUUUGACACAAUGAUUGUCAGGUAAUAUCCUAGUGCUGCUGCAAGAAUGAGAAUUUUUUACAAGAGCUUUUUGGGACUAAGUAGAAUCAUUUUGAAGGAGGGGAUAGAGGUGUUACAGUUGGAAAGUGGAGCUCUCAAAAAAUCAGGAUGAAAAGAGCAAUUAUGGUGCACUAUUAAUAAUGAGAGUAAAUUAUAAAAAUCCUCUGAGGUUUAUGUUUAUUACAUUUACAUCCAAUAGUUUGAAAAACCUACAUUUACCCCCAACUAAACUAACAGCAUUAGUAAAACCAUUUGCUUUAUGUAAAACAUCAAAAUUGCCUCUAGUACGCUUAUAAACCAUUUUUCCUAUGUCUUCCUACACUGCACCUGCGGUAUGCCUAUAAAGCCCGACCACCCCCAUGUGAACCGCUCUAACACCCUCUACCUGUGCUCCUGGCGCUUUCCCAAAUCCAACCUCAUCCACUCCCUCUCCCUCCUCUUUAGCCUUGAAACCCCCCUCUACGUUGGUGCCGAGCCCAAGGAGCCUUUGAGAGGUUGAAGAAAUUCGAGAUAAUCCUUUAACGAUUGUCGCCGCCUUCCUCCCUCGCCGCCUUCCGAACCCUUGUUACCUACUGUGCCGCCAUGAAUUCAUGAUCUGCUGUAGCACCGAUAUCUACUCCAUGGUCCUCUGCGGUGAGGGUGAUUGAUGGUCGGAUCUUCACAGUCGUGGGCGGCAAUGGGGGGAUCUUUGCGAUGGAGUGCUAUGACUCAGCAGCAGAAUGUUGGUUGCUGGAGGCAGGGAUGCAUUGUGAGAUGGUGUGGUACAAUGCAAUGGUGGUGGGGCGGCGAAUGUACGUGACAAAAGGGUGGCAGUGGCCCUUCCGUGCAUCAUGAGAGCAAGGGUCCAUGAUGUGGAUUGGGACACGUGGGAGGAGAUGAGCGAAGGGAUGUGGGAGGGGUGGAUCGGUGCCAGCAUCGUCGUUGGGGACCGUCGCCUCAUCAUCACUGACUAUGGUUAUGGCCGGGUGAAGGCAUACAACAGCACGAGCAACAUGUGGCAGGGGAUGGAGGGCAGCAGUGUCCACUGAUGCUGAAGUGGCUGUACAUUGUGAGCGGUGUGGAUGGUGAGAUCUACAUGGUGGGGAGCAAGUUGGAGGUGGGGGUAAGGACAAUGAUGGUGGAGGCGGCGAGGGAGAAGGGGAAGAAAGAGAGGUUGAGGGUGGGGAGGGAGGUGGUGAAGGGGCCAUCGGUAUUUACUGAUCUGGUGUCUUGUUGCUCCAAGAUGCUUUAUGCUUAUAGCUCUCUGAGGUUGGAAAGAUUUUUUCUAUUUUUUUGGUAAAUCUGAAUGUAGUUGGAAAGGGUUUCGGGGAGGAUCACGAGGUGGGAGAUGGAGGCGGUAUUGAGGUAGCUGGGUGUGGACCUAUCGACAUAGGAGGAGAUGGUGGCAAUGUUUGCGGAGGCAGACUGCACUGGCAAUAGGAGCAUCCAACUUAAGGAGAUCAUGGUGGUGUGGUCACCCUUCAGGCCGCCCAUCAUACUAAGGCUACAGGGGAUGUUCGCUAUCUUCGAAGAGAACUGAAAGAUCUCUAUCGAGUAGCUCCUUGCCAUGUUCGUCAUCCUCGGUGAUAAGUGGUGUAUCUUGGAGAAUUGCACCAUAUCAUCAGUGAGGACCCACCGACGGAGGAGGUGGUGGCGAUUCUUGCCGAGGCAGACUGCAACAGUGAUGGGAGCAUCCAACUGGAGGAGAUCGUGACAAUAGGGUUGGCCUUCCGGCCCUCCAUCAUGCCUAAGCUCCAGGAGAUGUUCAUCAUCUUUGACACUGAUAGAGCAAAAAAAUAAUGCUUGGUUUAGUCUAGAAAUAACACAAUCUUCAUUAAUAAGUAAUAGAAGAAAACAUGGAAUAUGAAGAUUUAAAUAAAGUAUACUAAUUUGAUUCCUAAUAAAUCUAAGUCUCUCUGAUUAUUAGGAUAGGCUAGGAGCCCAUAUCAGCCCAUUUGUUGUUGAAGGUUAUUUUUGAUAUUUUAUAAAAUCAUUCCAAUGUGGCAUUUGAGUCCCAUUUAGAAGUAAUAGACUAUCUAACAAUAUGGGUUUGAGCAAGGUUUGCGGAACCGAUACCGGCAGUACGGUUUGGCACGCCCCCAUUCCAUUUCGAUCCGAGACAGACCGACGAAGGAAAACAAAGCCGAAUCGGAGAAGAAAAAGAGAGAAAGAGAGAGAAAUAGAGAGAGGGAGGAAGAAAGAAAAAGAGGGAGGGGGGUUCGUCGGAGGGCCUCUGGCGGGCCGUCGUGGCCCGCAGGCGGCGUUUACGCCCCCUGCGGCUCCACGGUGUGAAAUAGGGGCAAUUUGCCCCUGUUUCUGUAUUUUUUUAAAAAAAUAUUUUUUAAAUGAAGUCGGCACUAGAUUUGCCAGCAUCACUUAAGUGAAGCCGAUAAACCCCAUACCGGCUUCAUUUAAAAAAAUAUUUUUUUAAAAAAAUAUGGAAAACAGGGGCGGAUUGUUCCUGUUUCAAGCUGUGGAGCCGUGGGAGGCAUUUACGUCGCUCGACGGCCAUGACGGCCGGAGGUGCUCCGACGGCCCCUCCGAUGGACUCCCCUCCCUCUUUUUCUUUCUCUCUCUUUCUCUUCCUCUCUUUUCUUUUUUUUCUCUCUUUUCUUCUCCGGCAUCGGCAUGCGUCGUUUUCUAUGCCGAAACCAUCUCGGUUCUCCGUCGGGACGGUUCGGCACAUCCCGUAUCGGGCAGUUCGGCUCGGUACAGCAUUCUUUGGGUUUAAGUGUUGUCUUAAAAUGACUAUUAAGGAUGUAAGUGUAGAUUUUGGAAAUUACUAGGUAUAAGUGUAAUUUUGACCUAACUUCGAGGGAGGGGUUUAUUAUUUAUCCUUUAAAUAAAGCAUGCUAACUUGAUUCUUAAUAAAUCCAAAAGUCUCUUUAAUUAUUAGGAUAGGCUAGGAGCCCAUAUCAGCUCAUUUGUUGUUGAAGGCUAUUUUUGUCAUUUUAUAAAAUCAUUCCAACGUGACAUUUGGGUCCCAUUUAGGGGCACGGAUCCUCUGCGCUACAAAUUUUGCACCGCACGGUGCUGUACAUAGAUGGAUUGCAUCCAUAUGGAAUAAAGUGGAUCCAAUGAUAAGCAUUGGAACAUAUUUUUGAAGGGAUUUAAUGACCCUCCUUAAAACUAAUUUAGGGACCCUUCUCUCCUAUUAAAAUAUGAUGCUCGUUAAAAUAUGACACCCGUGCCUGGGGCUGGCUGGUAGCAGUGCCAUUGCCAGCAGAGAAGCUUCGAGAGAAGGGCCAGAUGUUGAUAUUAAGUUCCGCGGCACCGCCGCCGCUCCUUCGCUCUCACCGCUACCCCUUGUCCUCCUUCUCGCUAACUUUGAAUAUAUCCUUCCACCACUUUGACUAGGACGACAGCGAUGAUGAGAUCGACUAGGUGAUUGAUGCCUGCGAGGGCUCCAACAGAGGCGGCAGGGAGGGGUUCGAUGGAGGCUCGAUCGGCUUGGGUUCUGGGCUCAGUUUGGGUCGAGGCUUUGGCUCGGAGUGGACAACAGAGAGGUGGAGGGGGAGGAUGCUAUCGAUGAAGAGCUCGUCUGCGAUAAGUAAUUCUUGCUGGGGAUGAGAAGGAUUACCGACCACCUAGAACUUGAACUUCGAAGAUGAUGAGUUUGAGCUUCUUCUUUUCAGAGUCUUUGUGGAUAAAUCCAUAUCUAUUCCACAAAUAAUGGCAAUGGAAUAAAAGAGAUCAAAAUUGAGGGGUAAGAUAGGAGAGAAAUAUAUGAGAGGAAUAAAAACAAUGGGAAUGAGAGAGAGGAGGGGAGGGAGAAGAGAGAGGAGAGAAAUAUGAAGAGAGUUUUGGUGGGAGUGGAGAGUGGUGGUGGUGGUGAAUGCAAGUGCUUGGAGGAGGAGGGCAGCAGUGAGAGCAAAGGAGCGACGGUAUCGCGGAGCUUAACAUCAACAUCUAGCCAUUCUCCUGGAGCCACUCCAUUGGCAAUUGUGCCGCCAUCGGUCGGCCCUGGGCAUGGGAGUCAUGUUUUAACAAUCGUCAUAUUUUAAUCGAAGAGAAGGGUCAUUAAAUUAGUUUUCUCAUUAAAUCCCUUCAAAAGUAGGUUCUUAUGCUUAUCGUUGGAUUCACUUUGUUCUAUGUGGAUGCAAUCCAUCUAUGUACAAUACCAUGUAGUGCAAAUUUGCACCAUAAAGGAUCCACGCCCCCUAUUUAGGAUUAAUGGACUGUCUUUUGAAAACAGUAUGGGUUUAAGUGUAGUCUUAAAAUAAAUAUUGAGGGUGUAAUGUAGAUUGUAUGGAAACUACUGGGCGUAAAUGUAAUUUCGACCUAACUUUAGGGAUUUUUUUAUAAUUUAUCCUAAUAAUUAAUAUAUUCAAACACUAAUAAAACUUAAAACUAAUGUUACUAAUCAUCAAAUUCUCUAUACAGUUGAGUUUGAAGUUUAUAUUUAAGAAAAUGCUAAUGAAUAGUUAGAUAAAUUUACAUGAUAACAAAAGUUAAAUAGUAGAAUGAUGGCUUAUCACACUACUGGAAUUAAUUGAUCCUAUCACUUAGACUAAAUAGAUGCCCAAAAUUUUUAGGAACUUUUUGGGUUUCAGUAAUGAUUUUGAAGAGUUCUUGUUUACUAUAAAGGAGGCAAUCAAUAGGUUUCAUCCUUGCCAAGAAAAAAAAACAAUAGGUUUCAUGAAAUGUCUCUUUGGUUCACAUCAUAUGACUCAUAAAUUGCAAUUUUUACAAUUACCAUCUUUCUUCAUUCCUUAGUUUAAUUUAGUCAUAACUUCCAUAAUCUCACUCCUUAAGUUCCUAGGAACAGUACCUCUACCCUUCUUUCCAGUCUCAAUCUUCUAUCUAUAUCGUUAUGUUUUCUUAAUGAAGAUGCCAAGAAUAUUGUAUUGUUGUCUACAUAUGUCUUGUCCUUUGCCCACUAGGUACCUGAGCUUUUUUUCUUUAGAAUUCCAUAAUAUCUUCUUCUAUUUGGAUAGUCUUUGUACGAUCUUUUUUACCUAGGUGCACCAUAAGGCUAUCAAGGUUACUUAUUUGCUUAUUAUUUAUUUAUUUUAGGUUGCGUGUGCAUGUUGGGGGGGUGUGGGAGUGUUGCAAUUGAAGUUUAGGCCCUAGAGUAGGGGUGAAAGUAGACCAAAUAAUAUCUAUCCGGAUCUAUUUUCAUAUCAAAAUCUAUCCGAAUGUGGAUAAAAAUUCGAGCAUUCGACCAAUAUCCGUAUCUGUAUCCAUAUCCGUGAAAGAAAAUGCAUAUAGAUAUAGAUAGAUAAUUGUCCAAUCCGUAUCUGAAUAUCCGAUUCUAUUUGUAAUGCUAUGUAAUUUUAUAUAGGACUCAUAAACUUUUAAGAAAAACAAAUAACCAUAUAAUACGCUAUUACCUUGAUUUAUCAUUCAUUUAGUGAUAUCUUUGAUUCUAUGAUAAAGUUUAAUUAUCCGACUUAUAUCCAUAUUUUUAUUUAUAUUUUCAAUAUCCGAUUUGUAUUUGUGUCCGUUUGAAACAAAUAUGGAUAUAGAUUUUUAUAUCCUACUAACAUCCAUAUCCAUAUAUAUGUAUUCGUCAAAGAAAACAAAUAAGGAUAUGGAUAUACUAGUAUCCAAUUUGUAUCUAAUCCAAUCUCAGCCCCACCGUAGAGUAGUCUGGGCUACUAAAUUUUGGUAGCUCAUCAUCCAACUAUAGGCACGUGUCCCGGACAUGACCUGGACAACUCACCUGUCUUCUGUUCCACCCCAAGGAAAUCUUGUGCAAUCUACUUCAUGCAGUUCAUGCACCAGGGUAUUCAAGUCCACUUGAAAACCAGGAAAUCUUUGAACUCUAUGGGAUGUGUGCAGAUGAAAAUAUCUUUUAUCUGAAAUGUUGUAAUGCAAAAGCCAUUUGAAAAAUCAUAUCAUAAUGAUCUUAUACUUUUAAUAUCUAUGUCUUUGCUUCAUCAGUAUGAUUUAUAGAAAGAAAAAAGGAUAACCCUGAUAAGCCUACACAAUGUGGAAAGUUGUUCCUCAUUCCUAGGUGAGUUGACACUUUGAAAAGUUGUUCAUAUUGCUAAAAAGACUGUGUGAUAUUGAUGAUACGCCAUCACUAUAUGUUCAUUUCAAGAAGUUUCUAUUAUAGUACAAGUAGAGAUAAUGCAAUAUAAAAUUGCAAACACAGGUAUUUAAGUCUGCCAGAGUCUUGUUGGCUUAUUUGAUAAUUAGAUGCUUGUUCAAUAAGGUAUAUAAACUUCUAUUAGAAAUGUAAGUGAGCAUGGUGUCUUUCUAUUUAUGACCUUUCAUAGUUGACUAUGUGAGUAUUAACUAUUAAACUAGCUGUGCAUAUAGAGAUUCCUUUAUGUCGGUUUUUCUCAGAAAGUCCAGAAUAUUACAAUUAUGGAUCCAGGUGGAUCCUUUUGGACUUGAGCCACCAAUUUUACCUAUUACAAUUACAUGGUUCCAGAUACCUACUUCCAAUUGUGCCUAUUUCUGUAGGGGUGGUAUCAUGUCAUGGGACAGAAGCAAAACUAUAGGCAUCUAGGUGAAUUUUUGUCAUUUCUUUUUCUUUUAAUCCCUUACUUUCAUCCUUGGGGCUGCUGAGUCCGUUGAUGAAAUUCUACUUCUUGAGACCUGAAUUGGGAUUGUUUGAGUUAUUAAAGGUUGGAUCAUUCUUUGCUAUUUUCAGCAUAUCACCUUUCAACUCUUCCUAGUGACUGCAUCUCUUGGUAUAGGCAAUACAAUGCAACUCAUCUCUGCCAAGUGUCAUGAAAUAUGCCUUGCACGUUCAUGCUUCUUAGCAAAUUAUAAAGAAGAUCUUCAGAAGACUUGCAUGAAUAUUGGUGUCAUCAAGAACUUCAAAAAAUUGACACAAUGGAUUUCCUCAUCGGCUUAUUUCCUAUUUCCUUUUCUAGUUUUCUUUUGGUUGAGAAUUUUCAUGAGCAAAUGUGAUGGGUGGAUACUGCCUUCACUUUCAUUUCUUUCAGGCUUUUUGGAAGAUCAAUUCUAAUAAAGAAUGUUGACCUUGUUCACCACCUACUUAUGAGUAUCUUCACGGCCAUCAGCUAGCUCCUCUCAUUGCUUAUUGGUUAACAACCUAUGUAAUUGCUUAUGACAAAGAUUAGGCAAUGGAGUCUUUUAUUAUGCAUUCAGUCUGUUCAAUAACUUUUCAUUAUACAAUAAUGGUUGCUGCAUCAUUCCCUUCUAAAUCACAGGAAGAAACCUUCUUGUUUUUUUUUUUUCUGAAGGUUAAGUGUCAUUGUCAUCUAUUUACAUCACUAAGUUUAAAAUUUAAGUGUGUAUUUACUUAUGAGAGGAGCCACUAUGUGGGUACCUUCAGUGCUAAUAAGGUCGGUCCUGAUCUAAAGACGGGACCCAGUACUGAUAUCCAAGUCAUUGAAUAUAAUCUGCUAUAUUUGGACUGCUCAAUAUCAAAAAAUUAUGUGAUUUUGAGAUCCCUAUCCUUUGCAUCCAGUGAUCAAAAACAGGCAUUUUUAAAUAACACGAAAGAAUGCAUAUUUUUUUAUCCCUGGAUGCAUGGGUAAAAAAUCUCUAAGUCACAUGUUUUUUGAAGUGUGCAGUUUAAAGAUUACAGAUCACAUCCAAUGGUUCAUUGGUGGGGUCUCCAGUCACUUGGUUAAGAUCAACCUUAUUAGAGUUGUUGUCUAGGUACCAUAUAUUAGUUCUACUUUUAUAUUCAUGAUGGGGCUUGGUUGAUAUAGUUUUGUAUUAAAAUAAGCUAAAGAAAGAGUUUUAUGAGGUAGAUCAACUGAUGCGUGGUUGAGUCUGCUGUUUCCAGUUCCCAAGGCAUGUGUCUUCUUAGAAGCAGAACUCAUUAAUAAGCAGAAGACUUACCAUAUAUAUGAGUUUUUCAAUUGUCAUCAUCAUGUGUGCUGAAAAAUAACUUAAAAGCCUGAACACAGGAUUAAAGUAAAAAUUGACUAACUUUUCAGAAGAGAAAGCACAAGAAAAGAUGGAAGGCAAAGGUGAUGGCAUAGGGGAUGGCUAGUAUUAAAGAUUCAAUGAAAACAAAAGCUAGUAUUAAAGAUUCAAUGAAAAAGCAUGUUACUGAAUCAUCCUUAACACGUGAUGGUGGUCAACAGAAUACUAGUUAAUUGCUUUCUUCGUUGAUAGAUUAUAUUUGUGAAAUAGAAACUACUGGAAGUGCAUAGAGUUAGUCAACAUUUAUCUUGUUUCUUUUCAUCUAUUGCAUUGUGAUUUUACUUUUUCAAAUUAUGUAGAAUACUUUUGAUCUUUACUGGUUGGUCAGUUUAACUAAAUAAGCAGCUGAUUUGUUUGCUUAAUACUAGUAAGGUUACAUGUGAUUGUCUAAUUUAUGUGUGCUAUUGUUGACACAAUGUAUGGGGAUGAUUGUUGCAGGUGAAACGGAAAGCUAAAGACAUUGGACCAUAUGACUGUACUAAAUAUUUGAAAAACACGUCAACCUCAGAGUCCCACUAAAAUGUUCCAACAUCAAUGCAACUGCCGCUUUUCAACAGCUCUUGGACUUUCCAUUUUAGAUGUAGCGACUGCAUGUACGAGGCGAGGAAGCUCUUCUUCAUGGCCUUAACAUUUAUUUGUACCUACCACGCUGAGCACCUAACUGUAUAACUUCUCGAGCUAGUUAUAAUUGAACACAUUUGUUCUUCAACAGUAAACCAGAACCAGACCGUGAGACAAGUAACCAUUGCAAAAGAAAACAACAGUUUUGUCAAUGAAGUCUAAACAUUUGCUUGGACUUUGAGAUAUAUAUUCCCCCAACUAUUGAUACUAUUGAACUGUUUAUAUACAUAGCAUCCCCAGUUCAUGUGUGGUGCCAGCUUUCAUGGUCGUCAGCCAUCUUGCCUGUACUCCGGCUUUGUCUGGCUUGACUCUUGAGAAUGAGAAACCAGUUACAGGAUGUAAUGAUGAUUUAUUUGGCAGACCAAGGUUAUAACUUAGGUGCAACCUCGCGUCAAAACCAAUCACAUGAAGAUAACCGUUCCAAAUGCCAAUAGCCUUUGUGAUACACGCCGUUGUGGCCAGGGAAUUAGAAAAAUUAGGCCCAUCCAGAUUGUUAUUAUACAUCCAUGAGAAGUUUAAUUUUAAUUAGGAGAUCAGGGAUAAUGGAGUUUAAUUUUGCUUUUUCCCCUUUUAUUAUGUGAUAUUUACAUAUAUUAAUUAGUAAUAGAAUUAUUAUAACUGCAUUAGUACAAGCUGCUACAAUAUUUCAUGUAGAUAACAUAACAGCUAGCUUUACUCUCGAUGGUAUGUAUAGAUUUUUAUCCUGAACCUGAUAGGUUGAAUACUUUGACCGACCACUGCAGGCUUUAGUUACAAAUGAGGUGCAUGUGUCAAUCUCAUUAUUAAUUUAUGGAAUAGAUUUCUCCUAUCAGAGAAUAGAUAAUGUUAACAAUAAUUUUGAUGUUGAUAAUUAUGUAUACCAAUACUAAAACUGCUGUUAUCUUUUUGAUAUUUAUCAAAAAUAAUAUUUAUAUAUAUAUGCAUACAUCCAUAUAUACAUGUAUAUAUAUACGUACACUAUAUAUAAAAAGUUACAGUAAUAUUGUGCUUAUCAUCCCUCUGAUAUAAAGUCAUUAUUGACAGUCUUGGUCUAAGAAAAUCAUUGGAGCUGGAUCAUAGAAAUGAUAAAAUAUGCAGAUAUGAUUUCUUUUUUUUACUCUUUCAAAUGUUAGGCCUCAAGGCCUAGGAGGCGGCCCUCGAGGUGGGCAAUGUAGUACUCGUUCUCAUAAAGGAAGACGGUGUGGCCGUCGUGGUUGAGGGCGCACUAGAGAGGUAUCUCGUGGCCGAGGCCGACGAUAAGGAAGUCGCUGGAGGCACGCCGACGGAGCACGGCAGCAAUGGUGCGGAGGUCAACGUCGCCCAUCUUGUUGCUGGAGUUGGAGGCAACGGUGUAGUUGACGAGGGACUCGAAGAUGGGGUCGGAAAGAUGAUGGUUGUAGCGGA
rnacentral:lncRNA from 1 species